UACGUAGGUGGCAAGCGUUGUCCGGAUUUACUGGGCGUAAAGAGCGCGCAGGCGGUCGUUCAAGUCGCGUGUGAAAGCCCCCGGCUCAACUGGGGAGGGUCACGCGAUACUGAUCGACUCGAAGGCAGGAGAGGGAAGUGGAAUUCCCGGUGUAGAGGUGAAAUUCGUAGAUAUUGGGAAGAACACCGGUGGCGAAGGCGGCUCUCUGGACCGAGACUGACGCUGAGGCGCGAAAGCGUGGGGAGCAAACAGG
rnacentral:rRNA from 1 species